CCGGCCAACCGCGGCUGCGAGGGACACAACCUCCAAUCGACAUCGUUUACAGCGUGGACUUUCCAGGGUAUCUAAUCCUGUUUGCUCCCCACGCUUUCGCACCUGAAGCGUCAGUCUUUGUCCAGGGGGCCGCCUUCGCCACCGGUAUUCCUCCAGAUCUCUACGCAUUUCACCGCUACACCUGGAAUUCUACCCCCCUCUACAAGACUCUAGCUUGCCAGUUUCAAAUGCAGUUCCCACGUUAAGCGCGGGGAUUUCACAUCUGACUUAACAAACCGCCUGCGUGCGCUUUACGCCCAGUAAUUCCGAUUAACGCUUGUUUUCUCCUCCGUAUUACCGCGGCUGCUGGCACGGAGUUAGCCGGUGCUUCUUCUGCAAGUAACGUCAAUGCACAGUGCUAUUAACACUAGAACCCUUCCUCCUCGCUAAAAGUGCUUUACAACCCUAAGGCCUUCUUCACACACGCGGCAUGGCU
rnacentral:rRNA from 1 species